GCUCCCCGGCAAAAUGGUGGCGCCGGCGCUGGCGGGGUGGAUGCGGCGCCGCCGCAGCGCGCGCCAUGCCCGGUAGCCGGCGGAAGGGACCCUGCCUCAGGCCCGCCGCCCUGAGGAGGCGGAGCGGCGGCGGCGAGGAGCAGCUCACCCGGCGGCGGCCGGCCGAGCUCCCCCCGGAGGAGAAGGAGAAGCAGGAGGAGGAGGAGGAGGCGGCGGUGCGCGGCGCGGGCCAGGGCCUGCCCGCGGGGGAGGCGCCGCGCGCGCCCCGGCCGUCGCAGUCGCGGGAGGCGGCGGUGCGCGGCGCUGCAGAGUCAUGUUUACAUAAAACACCAAAGAGAUCGUUGAGUAGGAAAUCCCGAAUAUCUACUUUCAGCUCUCCUGUUAAUGACACCGAUAUCCAGCAAGAAAUCUUUUGGGAUCCUCAUUCACCAAUUGCACACAGACUAGGCAAUGGAAAAACCAAACAGUCUACCAGUAGAUGCGCAGUAGAAAUUUCAGAAAUUGUUAAUCGUAUUGCUCCUCAGGAUGAAAAAGCAGCCUGUAAUGAAGGCUCCCUUUUAGGGACAUGGAUUGGUGAGGAUGCUAUUCCUUGUACACCUGGAGUAGUAAAAGCACGAACUAGGACGAAGUUAAGUUGUACAAGAGAUCUUAAAAUAAAAAAUCCUGAAGAGGAACUCAUGAAAUUGGCUAAGGAAUUUGAUAAAAAUCUAGUAGAGCUAGAUGCUGUUCAGGAACAAGAGAAGCUUGGUCAUCACUUCAUCCAGACCGCCUCAGAGUCUUUAAAUAAUUCUAAAGAUGGAGUAAAUAUGAAGAACCUGAAAUCACUCCUUGGUGAAUUUUCUGAAACAGAUACUGCUCUGUCCCUGAAACCAGUUGGACAGAGCACUGGCGUCCCUGCUGCAGAGCCCUGUCAAUCUAGCAGUCAAAAGUCCAUAGAUCUUGAGGCUGAAAUAGCCCUUCAUGCUCUUUUUGACUGCUCUACCCAGAAGUGUAGUGGACAGUUGAGCCAAGGACUAUCAGGUAUUUCUUUAAAUAAUAGUUUCCAUGAAAAUAAAAGCACCUUGGAUGAUGAACAGCUUCCUGAGCAAAUUAAAGACAUGCAACAUGGUAAUUCGGAGGCAUAUCGAAAAGAUAGUCUGUGUGCACUAGGAAGCGUGAACCAGACUUUUCCAAAAACUGAUACGCAUGUGUUGACAAAAAAAAAUCCUUCUUCUUUGAAGACACAAUUGGUGGUCUCCAGUAAGCUUGCUGGAGUAGUUAAUGACGACUUUGAUGACUGGGAUACAGAUUUUUUGGCAGAUGACUCUUUUGUGAUGCAAAUAACCCAAAAUCCUGAAUUGUUAAGUACUGAAGAAGCACUACCAAUUCCUACAAAUCCAUCUGUGCGUGGUUUCAGUGAUGCUAGCAGAACAAAGGAAAGAAGUUCCAAUUCAGUAACUUGUUUGGGGAGUGUACGCAAAUCUAACAGUUUUCAGUUUUCACCUUUGAAACACUGUAGUAAAAACACACAAAUUGUAAAAUCUCUUUCUUUACAAAAGCCAUAUAAGACACAAAACUCAAAGACAGAGACCAUAGCCUUUCACGGCAAAUGUGACGUUAAGCCAGAUAAAAUAAAUUCUGUUGGGAAAAGUGCCCAAACCAGUGAUUUGAACUAUAUUCCUGUUUCAGUGCAGUCUGAAGUGAAGAAUGGAAAUGAAACUAUUCAGCCUAAAAGCGACCCUCUUCCUCUGUUUCCUUCAAGAUCUAAUCCUCAUAGACAAUGGACUGAAAAACCUGGGAAUAACACAUACAGUAUUUUCUGUCAAUCAUCCAGUGUUUCUACCAAUACGAAACCUAAUGAUCUACCUAAAAUGGUUAACCAAGCUAAUACAGAUAACUUAAAUCAAGUUGAAGUACCAAAGAAAUGUCCUGUGUCAUGUGAUGACUGGAAUGAACCGAAAUUUUCUGAUGAAGUAUUAGAUAUGUUUUGUGAGUCCGAUAGUCUUUGGGAUGCAAACCGUGAGGAUGAUGAAUUGUUGUAUCAGGUGUGUGAUGAUAUAGAAAAGCAGACUCAGAGCCAGGAUGUUAAACAAGGAAAUGAAAGAGCUAAAACUAUACAAGGAGCCAGUAUUAAUUCCAGAUCAAAUGCUGGUAACAGCUUCCCAGCAUCUAAACAAGGACUACCUGAUCUCCUCUUGGCACAAAAACCAAAUGCAAAACAGGACGCUUUCUCACUAAACAAUUCCUAUAGGAAUUCAUCAAAGGUUACACAUGGGCUGGCCAGAACAGGUCACGUAGUGAACUGUAAAAACGUCUCAAGUCCUUUAACUGUGAUCUCGGGUACUUCUAUGGAGUGUAAAUAUACACUGUCUAAAAACUGUCAUCAAGCCGCUUCUGAAGAUACUACAAAGACUGUUUCAGGAAAAUGGUAUAGGUCAAAGUCUGUGCCAGCAGGAGAGCCUGGUUCUGAAGCAAGUCCUGUUAAUGCAGUAAACGUUUUCAGUAGCAAAACACUAGACAGCCCAGAUCUUUUGUAUAAUACAGGAAAGAUGCCAAAUAACAGUUCUGCUAACAGAAUAUCACUUAUACCUUCAAAGUUUAAGUUCCAAAAGACUAACAAUUCUCAGGGUGCUCUUCAUGUAGGGUCUGAAAAGCCAGGGAGUCAUUCUAGCAUUGGAAUUACUCUGCAGAGUUUGGAAGGAAGCAAGAAUCAGGUGAAUGUGACUUUGCACAGCAAGCUUGACAAUAAGAAACCACCUUUCAAGAGGCACCUUUCAGAGUCUUUUGCACUGCCUACAUCAGUGUCUGUGGCGGAACAAAAAAAUAGAAAAUGUUCUCAAGAAGAGAUUGAAAGAAAAAAACAAGCAGCUCUUGCACGAAGAAAAUCCAGAAUGCAGGCGUUCUUUAAAGAUGCUUGAAUUUGGAGUUUAUUUUGUCUAUGGAGUAAGUUUUUGGGAGGGAAAUAUUGUAAUACUGGAAGACAGUUUUUAAACUCUGUUCACAGCUACUGACGGCAAACUUUUUCUAUUUCUCAAUUUAAAAAGAUCUUGACCUGAACCAUAACUAAUACUCUGGUGGUAUUUAGUCUUAAUUAAAAACUACCAGUUGUAAAUGUGUAGUCCCAAACUACCUUCAGCCCAAUGAAGAUUGUAUUGAGUUCACAUACUGUUAUGUGUUGAAAUUGUAUAGUCUGAAAAUCAUCAGAGCAUGAAUGCGUUUGUAUAUACACGAAAGUAGAAGAUGUCAAAAACAGACUGUAUGUGUUUUGGCUGUAUUAUUGCAAAUAUUUUAAUCUAUAAGAAGACUCUCAAGUACACACAGACUAAGAAAUACUAAUGUUUGGUCUCAGGUAGAAGAAAGUUUUGGUUUAAAGAAAGUACAAUCUAGAAAACAUCUAACAUGGGAAAACUAAUGGAAAUGAACAGGAUUUGGAAAGCGUGUUCAGUUUGUCUCCGUUACCUUAGCUUGUCCUCACUAAAGGAAAAACUUGAUUCAAGUUUUAACCCUGGAAAAUUAGGACCCAUGUAGACAUGGGAAUGAAGCUUUGCAUGCGCUGCCACACUCUCUGUGAACAGGAGAUGUCCAAAUAUUAUAUUCUAACUGAGCAUAGCAAUUUAGGUUUGGGGUUUUUUGGUUUGGUUUUUUUUUUUUGGCUGAGCAGGGUGGGAUUUCUUACAUGCCUAAAGCUGAGCAUAUGUUGGGCAUGUUUUGCAGAAUUGUAGCUGUAGGGCCAAAUGUCUAAGGCUAUUUAAGCACCUGGGGAAGUCACUCAUGGGGAGUCACAUUGGUGAUUCACAGUGGUAUGAAAAAGAGCUUGAUGAAUAGUUGUUUUUGAAUAUCCCAUUGGAUACUAAGCUGCACCUUUGGGUGUUAGAGACCUGCAGAAAGCUGAACUUCAAUGACAAAAAAAAUGGACAUAAUGAGAGAAAGAAAAAUGUGUUCUCCAAGGCUUGCAUAACAGUUUGGAAACAUUUUAGUAGAUGAAGUGUUAACAGUUCCUUCACCAAUAAUGACUUGCAAAGGACUUUUUUUUUUUUUUUUUAAAUUAGCUCUCAUGUUCUACAGCAAAAACCUGAAAUAUAUGCUUAGAAAUAUCACAAAUUUGAAUUCCUGUCUUCCUGGUUGCUUCUUACAGGCUACACUAUACCUGGAUAGGGCCAGAUGUUUUUGUAAAAUCUAGUGCUGUAAAUGAAGAUGACAUUAACCUUAAUAACUAUUUUGUUACUGAACUUGAAUAGGUGUUAGCGAUGAAUAAAUGAAACUGAAUUUUAUAGAAUGA